rnacentral:rRNA from 1 species
AUUGAACGCUGGCGGCAUGCUUUACACAUGCAAGUCGAACGGUAACAGGCCGCAAGGUGCUGACGAGUGGCGAACGGGUGAGUAAUGCAUCGGAACGUGCCCAGUCGAGGGGGAUAAAGCAGCGAAAGCUGUGCUAAUACCGCAUACGAUCUGUGGAUGAAAGCGGGGGACCGAAAGGCCCCGCGCGAUUGGAGCGGCCGAUGUCAGAUAAGGUAGGUGUGGGGGUAAAGGCGCACCAAGCCAACGAUCUGUAGCUGGUCUGAGAGGACGACCAGGCACACUGGGACUGAGACACGGCCCAGACUCCUACGGGAGGCAGCAGUGGGGAAUGUUGGACAAUGGGCGAAAGCCUGAUCCAGCAAUGCCGCGUGCAGGAAGAAGGCCUUCGGGUUGUAAACUGCUUUUGUUCGGAGCGAAAAGGAUCUCACUAAUACAGGGGGCUCAUGACGGUACCGUAAGAAUAAGCACCGGCUAACUACGUGCCAGCAGCCGCCGUAACAC